AAUCCAACAUCGAGGGCGCAAACCCCCCUGUNGAUACGAACUCUCAAGGGACAUUACGCUGGUAUCCCUAAGGGGNACUUAAUCUAAUAAUCACUAAAACUAGGGGAUCACCACACAUACUAAUAAAUAAGCCCCAUGCUAAAAGAGNUACUUAUCUCUUCCUGCCGCCCCAGCAAAAUCCCCGCCAAUUGGCCGCUUCCUAUCCAUAACCACCUGAACAAAAAAUAAAGAUCUAUAGGGUCUUAUCGUCCCCCAAGAACAUCUAAGCCUUUUCACUUAAAAAUAAAAUUCAACACAACAUAAGCCUAAGAAAGCUACCCCCUCGUCCAACCCUUCAUUCCAGACCCCAAUUAAGGGACUAAUGAUUAUGCUACCUUUGCACGGUCAAGAUUCCGNGGCCNUUNAACNCAAGUACAUUGGGCAGGCCAANNUGCNCCCCGACCGGU
rnacentral:rRNA from 1 species